rnacentral:rRNA from 1 species
GCUUAUCACCAUUCCAGAUUGAAUAUAUCCGAUCUCGUCUGGUCUCGGAAGUCAAGCAAUCUCGGGCUUGGUUAGUAAAUUGGUUAGAAAUUGUUUUGUUCCAUUUUACCUCUGCC